GGAUUAGAUACCCGGGUAGUCCACCCCGUAAACGUUGGGAACUAGUUGUGGGGUCCAUUCCACGGAUUCCGUGACGCAGCUAACGCAUUAAGUUCCCCGCCUGGGGAGUACGGCCGCAAGGCUAAAACUCAAAGGAAUUGACGGGGACCCGCACAAGCGGCGGAGCAUGCGGAUUAAUUCGAUGCAACGCGAAGAACCUUACCAAGGCUUGACAUACACGAGAACGCUGCAGAAAUGCAGAACUCUUUGGACACUCGUGAACAGGUGGUGCAUGGUUGUCGUCAGCUCGUGUCGUGAGAUGUUGGGUUAAGUCCCGCAACGAGCGCAACCCUCGUUCUAUGUUGCCAGCACGUAAUGGUGGGAACUCAUGGGAUACUGCCGGGGUCAACUCGGA
rnacentral:rRNA from 1 species